rfam:Biomphalaria glabrata isolate BB02 unplaced genomic scaffold LGTN_random_Scaffold78, whole genome shotgun sequence.
GGCGUGGUGGCUGAGCGGUAAAGCGCUUGGCUUCUGAACCGGAGGGUCCCGGGUUCGAAUCCUGGUGAAGACU